rnacentral:rRNA from 1 species
GACGAACGCUGGCGGCGUGGAUUAGGCAUGCAAGUCGAACGGUAUAAACCUUUCGGGGUUUAGAGAGUGGCGAACGGGUGAGUAACACGUAGGUAAUCUACCCUCAAAACGGGGACAACCCAGGGAAACUUGGGCUAAUACCGGAUGCGUGCAAGCAAUGUUUUGGCUGUUAAUGCUAUUCACGGAAGUGAGUAGUGUUAAUGGUUGAGAGCAUUAUUUGCAUAAAAGGUGGCAUAUGCUGCCGUUUGAGGAUGAGCCUGCGUCCUAUUAGUUAGUUGGUGAGGUAAUGGCUUACCAAGGCGACGAUAGGUAGGCGGCCUUAACGGGUGGUCGCCCACACUGGGAUUGAGAGACGGCCCAGACUCCUACGGGAGGCAGCAGUCGAGAAUAGUCUACAAUGGACGGAAGUCUGAUAGUGCGACGCCGCGUGAACGAAGAAUCCCUUCGGGGUGUAAAGUUCUUUUAUACGUGAGCAGUGCCCUUUAUAUGAAUAGUAUAGAGGGAGGGAUUUAAGCGU